UUAUAACUGGAGAGUUUGAUCCUGGCUCAGAAUGAACGCUGGCGGCGUGCUUAACACAUGCAAGUCGAACGAGAAAGGGAUUGCUUGCAAUCCUGA
rnacentral:rRNA from 1 species